CCAACGUAAAGUAUCUUUAUUAUUAAAUCAUCAUAUAAACGUGACAUACGUGCCUAAUAGGCCAACGUGAUCAUUUAUAAAUUCAAAACAUAGGCCGACAAGGACGUACAAUCUUUUACGUACACGACAUAUAUCUACAAGCCUCUAAGAGUACAUAAAUGUCAUAAAGGUUGGGACAGAGUCCCGCCAUACUAAACAAUACACGUCUAAAUCAUACUAACAAAACACGCAACUUCGAAGCAAAUGGAGCGCACCAACAUCUUCCGCUGAGCUGAUAGCCUACUUGGAGGGCUCUCGACCUGUCUGUCUGGACCUGCAGGCAUGAAACGCAGCGUCCCCAGGCAAAAAGGAUGUCAGUACAAAAUAAUGUACCGAGUAUGUAAGGCAGUAUACUGAAAGUUGAAACUGAAUUGAUAAUAUAAUAAUUGCAAGUAGCUGGAAGUCAAAGAUGAUCUGAAGAUAUGCUUACCUGCUAACACUGACUCAACUCUCUCAAAAUAAUAAGUAAAAUAGCUAUCCGGCCCUAUAAGGCUCGAUAUUUAUAUAUAUGUAACUGCUCUGCCAUAGUAAGCUCGCUCAUAAGCGCUCGGCCAUACUUGGCUCUGUAUCUCGGCCAACUAGGCUCGCUCAUAAGUGCUUGGCCACAGUAGGCUCGGUAUAUAUGUAUAUAUAACUGCUCUGCCGUAGUAGGCUCGCUCAUAAGCGCUCGGCGGUACUAGGCUUUGUAUCUCGACCAACUGGGCUCGCUCAUACGCGCUCAGACACAAUAGGAUCAUCAUAUAACUUACCAUCUGAUCAGAGGUUGCCCAAUAAGGGCCUGCCCAUAAAUUAUAGCUCGAUGGUAAUGAAAAUACUUUUAAUACUGUAUAUAUGUAACUUCUCUUCUCUCUUGACUGGAAGAAGGAAAUACUCAACUGAAUAUGAAGUCCCGAUAAGGAGAAUAUUAUAACUUACAACACUAGAAAAAUAUACGCAAUUUGCGAAACUAGCAAAAUAUACGUAAAUUCCGGGAUAUGAAUGUAAUGACGAGAUCAUGCCAAAUGAAAGAAUAGCUUAGCCUUAACAUACCUGGAGUAGGGAAAAAUUCGUAUGAUAUUCUUGAGAAAGAUUGUACCGUGCUCUCUUAAAAUCACAAAAUCCUGCUAUGAUUACACAAUAUAAUUUCGUAGGGGUUCCUUUACUAACCAAGAACUCACGUUGCUAUUUUAAUAUGAAGCCUUUUAUGAAAUUCCAGAUGUUCUUGUCCAAACUUCCUUUGCUAACACUAGAUAACUUAAGCCGGUUGAAUUCUUGUCCGCCAAAAAUCACACCAUAUAUCUAUUUCUGGUUGUAUGUUAUUAUUUGCAUCAAGUAAUUUCUUCAGACACUUAAGUAAUCCAUAUAUGCUAUAUAUGACACCUUUAUAUGAACAUAACAGAGAGGGUAACGAAAGAGCCCAAGAAAAUCAAUUUCCAAAUUCAUUUUGAACCUUGAAGGCUCAAUUAGUGUUGUGUGGGGCUAACUAUAGCCAUCCAAAAAUAUUUCCUAAGACAGUAAGUUAUCGAC
rnacentral:lncRNA from 1 species